CCCUUAGAUGUUCUGGGCUGCACGCGUGCUACACUGAUAUUGCCAAUAUGUCAUUCUUAUCCGAAAUGGAUUGGGUAAUCAAGUAAUGAAAUUUCAUGCUUGGAAUCGGUAAUUGCAAUUUUAUCGUGAACGAGGAAUUCCUAGUAAGCACUAGUCAUCAGCUAAUGUUGAUUAUGUCCCUGCCUUUUGUACACACCGCCCGUCGCUACUACUGAUUGGGUGUUCAAGUGAGAUGCUUAGACCCUUGUUGCAUGGUUCAUUAUUGUGCUCCGAAAGGAAAAAGUUUCAAGCUUGAGUGUCUAGAGGAAGUAAAAGUCGUAACA
rnacentral:rRNA from 1 species